rnacentral:lncRNA from 1 species
CUUUUGCCUCUACCUCCCCAGUGCUUGGGUUACAAGUGUGUUCCCCAGGCCUGUUUUAUAUGACGGGACCUAAGCCAGCUCCUUGUACCUGCUAAGGGAGCCUCUUAGCACUGAGCUGCAUCCCUUUCUCUGCAGAGGAGUGUUGAUAAAGUUUGACAAGCAUGGUUAUCGGGAGAGGAAUGGAGAAAGUAAAGGAGGAUUGGGGAAAGGCUUUUAAUGCUUUGGACUUUUACAGGCAAAAUAAUGGGAAUGGAUCAAAAAAUUUUGUGGUUUUUUUUUUUUUUUUAAGAAUCAAACAGGCUUUUAUUAUUCACAUACUCGGUAGAAAACAGGGUUUAGUAAAUAGGGUGGAGCUAUGGAAGACUCUGGGUUGGUCUGGGUCUUAUUUACAGGUGGGGACAGCACUGUUCCUCACAUCAGGCACAACACAUGCACUUGUUCAGGGCGCCUUUGCAGACACAGCCCUGGGCACGUUUGGAGCAGCCUACGGGGCAGCAGCUCUUCUUGCAGGAGGUGCACUUGCAGUUCUUGCAGCUGCAGGAGCUAGAGCACGAGCAGGAGCCGCUGGUGGAGCAGGAGCCGCUGGGGUCCACUCUGAGAUCUGGUGAAGCUGGAGCUACAGAGUAAGUGAUGAGAAGGCAGUCAGGCUGCUGAAGUCUUGGUCUUUGUUUUUUUGACUCAGGGUUUCACUGUGUGGUCUUAGCUAUCAUAGAACUUUCUACAUAACUCAAGCUACUCUUAAACUUGUAAGCCUGCCCUUAAACUCCUUCUCUUGCCUUCUAAGAACUGGAGUUACGGGUGUGAGAGCCUUGAAUCAAUUUAACUUUUGUUUUGAUCUUUGAGACAACAUUUCUCUGUGUAGUUUUUCUGGGUGCUGGAAUUAAAGGUGUGUACCAUCACUA